AGUCUAUCAUUGCUCCUGCAGAUUCGCCUUAGAGUUUGAUCCUGGCUCAGAACGAACGCUGGCGGCAGGCUUAACACAUGCAAGUCGAGCGCCCCGCAAGGGGAGCGGCAGACGGGUGAGUAACGCGUGGGAAUCUACCCAACCCUAUGGAAUAACGCAUGGAAACGUGUGCUAAUACCAUAUACGCCCUUCGGGGGAAAGAUUUAUCGGGGAUGGAUGAGCCCGCGUUGGAUUAGCUAGUUGGUGAGGUAACGGCUCACCAAGGCAAUGAUCGGUAGCUGGUCUGAGAGGAUGGCCAGCCACACUGGAACUGAAACACGGUCCAGACUCCUACGGGAGGCGGCAGUGGGGAAUUUUGCGCAAUGGGGGAAACCCUGACGCAGCAACGCCGCGUGGAGGAUGAAGUCCCUUGGGACGUAAACUCCUUUCGACCGGGACGAUUAUGACGGUACCGGUGGAAGAAGCCCCGGCUAACUUCUUGCCAGCAGCCGCGGUAAUACUAGGGGGGCGAGCGUUGUUCGGAAUUAUUGGGCGUAAAGGGCGCGUUGCGGUGCGGUAAGUCACCUGUGAAACCUCUGGGCUUAACUCAGAGCCUGCAGGCGAAACUGCCGUGCUGGAGUGUGGGAGAGGUGCGUGGAAUUCCUCGUGUAGCGGUGAAAUGCGUAGAUAUCGGGAGGAACACCUGUGGCGAAAGCGGCGCACUGGACACAACUGACGCUGAUGCGCGAAAGCUAGGGCAGCAAACAGGAUAGAUACCCUGGUAGUCCUAGCCUAAACGCUGGAUGCUUGGUGUGGUUGGGUACCCAUACCUAACGUGUCGAGCUAACCCGUAAGAAUACCCGCCUGGGGAGUACGUCGCAAGGUGAACUCCACUGAAUUGAUGAGUCCGCACAACGGUGGACGAUGGGUUCAUUCUCUCACGCACAACCUACCUGGGUUCGAGCACUGGACCCGGAGAAUAUACUUUCUCUCUAGAAACAUCUCGCAAGU
rnacentral:rRNA from 1 species